ACAGAACUCGGUCUCCGCUCCACCAGAGGUCGCUGUAGGACCGCGCGCGAGGGAUCCGGUCCCGGCGACGCCGCUCUAGGCCGCAGGCCUCGUCUCUGCUGCAGUUCCGCCGCCGCUGCGCGGGUGGAGGAGGUUCCGGACUCGGGUGGUUUCUGUUUUUCUUGGAUCCACGCCAUCUCCCAACAUCCGCGGACAUCCGCACCUUCCAGCACUGUCUACUGUGUUUCCGCCUCUGUCCCGCUCCAUCUCUCACGGCGCCCCGGGAGUGUCACAUGGCUGCUGUUGCAUGAGAUGUGUCGUCAGGGAGAGCCGGGACUGAGUCCCCGCUGGGUCUGUGUGCACAGAGGCUCCACAGGAGGCGCCAUCUUCGUGUCAGCCAGGCGCUAGGCCCUGGGCCCCCAGGAGCCGCCAGUAGUGUCGAAUAUGUGGAGAAAGAAAAAUCAAGGUCAGCGUUAGAUCUGGAGAUCGUUGAGGAAGUCCCAAGGCCUUGAGUCAGUGACUUUGGGGUGACUUGGGAUCUGGCGUUGCUGGUAUUUCUCCCCAAGAUUCCUUUUGUUCGUGGACACCAGCGGGGCAGAGAAUGGAGAGUGCAGUGCACACAUGAAGAGCUCCCCGCCGCCUGCUCAGAGUGUCACGGGAGCACUGUUCACUCUGCACGAGAAAUCAGGGCAAAGCGCGGGGACUGGGGGCUCAGGGUCCUCUUCAGCUGGCUCUGAGUCCCGACAGCAUUGCCCUUGGACGCCGUGGACAGGAAGGCCGGUCCCCGUCCCUCUGCCUGCGUGACUUCAGCGGCCAAGAGUUUUUCUCUUGAGUUGGCAGCUGCUCAUUGUCAUCACUUUUCCCUCCACCCAUCCAUUCAGUAAACCGUACGCACCCACCCACCUGUGUUUUAAGUCAGUAACAAGCCACGUGCCAGCGAGGCUGGGCGGGGAGAAAGUGGGUCACAGGCCAAAUCCCGUUUUCACUCUGAGCCUUUCUGUCCUGCUCCUGAGGCUUGGCACGUGGGCUGUUGUUUGAGGUGUUCUGUUAGGAGCGGGGUGAACAAACACUGGUGGUGGGCUCAGGUUAGGACCUGUGAGAGUUGAGGGCGUUGAGGAACAGUCAGGCCAGGGCUUGGGAAGGGUGAUGGGGAACCGGAGUGAGACAGGUGCUGAUGUCAUUGGGGAAGCUGUGGGUUCCUGGCUCGUGAGUACGUACCUGCUUGUGUGACCAGCUUGCCUAGUUUGCCUGGAAUUGGGUUUCUCAGACAUGGGACUUUCAUUGCCAAAACCAGGCAAGUCCUGGGCAAACUGGAACAAGGUGGUCAACUUAGCUGGGUGUAAAAUACAUGGUGUCAACUUGAGAGGACAGGUUACUGAGUAAAGGUGAGAGUGGUGAACGUGGAGCCGCCAUUGGUGGACUCAGUCUUCUGGAGAUAAUUGGGGUAAAAUCGACAGUUGCACUGAGGACACGUAUGUGAACUUUUGAAUCUCCAUUUUAUAGAUGGAGGAGUCUGCAUGAGGAAGUAUGUCCCAAAGGCUGUGAUGAAAGGCCCUACUUUAAAAAUGUCCCAGUUCCUGCAUUUGGAAUUGAAACCACCUUGGCUGAGCUGAGGCAGGAUUCAGGCUGUCAGGCCUGCCUGGUGGCUUUGACACCCUGAAGGUCUGUGCAGGGGCAGGCAUUCUUCAUGGCUGAAAUGUUCUGCCCUGCUAGCCAGUUCCUGGUAGAGGCAUCCAGAAGCGGGAAGUCCUUUUUCUGUCUUACUCCAAGGACUAUCCUCUGACUUCUGUUUGCCACCUUUAUUCAGCUGGUUGUAGCUGCCUGGAAAGGUGCCAAGAGAAGGAGUCUGGGCCCACUGGAGAUAUAGCCGCGACUGAGCGCGAUGUCUGCUGCCACACAGGAGCAGGACACAGGCCAGUCCUUAGCAAGUGUCCUGGGGCCACUGGGCACUGGUGGUCAUGCUAGCCCUGUUCUGCCACAGCUUGCGAAGCGGGAGCCAUCCCAGGUCUGUAGGGCCUGAGGACAUCUGAGGAGAGCAUCCAUCCAGGGUGACCCAGGAACCAGGCUUAAGGUCAAUAAGGCACAAACCUUGGCUGGGAAACUAGGCCUCACUGGAGCAGCUGGUGGGAGAUUAACCAGACAUCAUACGAGACAUAGGGGUACAAUGGUGAAUAAGACAGUUUGUGCCCUAAAAGGGGUCACCAAUAAAUAUAUAGAUGUCUCCACACACCAAAUGUUACAGGACAGGCACUGCUGGGCACUGUAGGUGUUGGGGAUGCAGCUUUAAACAAAACGGGGUGCCUCCUGGAGCUUGUUUCGAACUGCUGUCCAUUAUGGCAAGCCACCAGACACUUGGGGCUAUUUUAAUGGAUUUAAAUAAAACUUAAAAUUCAGGUCUUCAGUUUUAUCAGCCACAUUUCAAGUGCUCAGUAGCCACAAGUAGCUGUGGGGUUGGACAGUGCAGAUACAGAAUAUUCCCAUUACUGCAGGAAGUUCAGACGGCACCAGUCUAGAAAAUAAGGAGUUGAAUUCCAUGAAAGUAGCUGGGACACCUUUACAGAAAGGCUGUCAUUUGAGGAGUCCAAAGAGGGCUGCUGUGCCU